CCUGUACCACCAUUAUUCGUUUUAAGCGAUGGGGGGACGCAGUAGGAUAGGCGAAGCGUGCUGUUGGAGUGCACGUCCAAGCAGUGAGAUUGAGUGUUAGGCAAAUCCGGCACUCUUAAGAUUGAGCUGUGAUGGGGAGAGGAACUUGUUCCUCGAGUCGUUGAUUUCACACUGCCGAGAAAAGCCUCUAGCUAGAAUAACGGUGCCCGUACCGCAAACCGACACAGGUAGUCAAGAUGAGAAUUCUAAGGUGAGCGAGCGAACUCUCGUUAAGGAACUCGGCAAAAUGACCCCGUAACUUCGGGAGAAGGGGUGCUCUUUGAGGUUCACGCUUCGAAGAGCCGCAGUGAAUAGGCCCAAGCGACUGUUUAUCAAAAACACAGGUCUCUGCUAAACCGUAAGGUGACGUAUAGGGGCUGACGCCUGCCCGGUGCUGGAAGGUUAAGAGGAGUGGUUAGCGCAAGCGAAGCUACGAAUCGAAGCCCCAGUAAACGGCGGCCGUAACUAUAACGGUCCUAAGGUAGCGAAAUUCCUUGUCGGGUAAGUUCCGACCCGCACGAAAGGCGUAACGAUUUGGGCACUGUCUCAACGAGAGACUCGGUGAAAUCAUAGUACCGGUGAAGAUGCCGGUUACCCGCGACAGGACGGAAAGACCCCGUGGAGCUUUACUGUAGCCUGAUAUUGAAAUUCGGUACAGUUUGUACAGGAUAGGUAGGAGCCU
rnacentral:rRNA from 1 species